CCUACGGGUGGCAGCAGUGGGGAAUAUUGGGCAAUGGGCGCAAGCCUGACCCAGCAACGCCGCGUGAAGGAAGAAGGCUUUCGGGUUGUAAACUUCUUUUCUCAGGGACGAAGCAAGUGACGGUACCUGAGGAAUAAGCCACGGCUAACUACGUUCCCGCAGCCGCGUUAAUCCGUAGGUGGCAAGCGUUAUCCGGAUUUAAUGGGGGUAAAGGUCGUGUAGGCGGGAAAGCAAGUCAGAGGUGAAAACCAUGGGCUCAACCUGUGGCCUGCAUUUGAAACUGUUUUUCUUGAGUACUGGAGAGGCAGACGGAAUUCCUAGUGUAGCGGUGAAAUGCGUAGAUAUUAGGAGGAACACCAGUGGCGAAGGCGGUCUGCUGGACAGCAACUGACGCUGAGGCGCGAAAGCGUGGGGAGCAAACAGGAUUAGAUACCCGGGUAGUC
rnacentral:rRNA from 1 species